UGAACGUAUACACCUGUACGUAUAAAAAAAGAACGUCUGCAAGUUGAGUAUAAAAGCGCUCUCGUGUUUUUAUAUUUUGACCAAAAAGAACAUGACAUGAAUAAUUUUUAUUUUUCCCUUUAUAAAAAUGUUUUAAAAACUAAUAGGUACAAUAUCUGUAAAAACACUUUUUAUCAUGGUGGAUUAAUAAUAAGUAAAGUAUACGUGUCAUAUAAACAUACGAUUUUAAAUAUAAAACAAAACACUAAGGUAUCAAAAAGUGAAAGAAAAAGGAAAAGGAAAAGGAAAUCAAUAGAGGAAGAUGAUAGUAAAGCGAAAAAAAACUUACAUUUAGAUAUAAAAGAUGUGAAUAUUAAUAAUUUAUUAGAAUGUAUUGGAAAUGAUAAAAAGUUAUUAUUAUAUACACUAAUCAAAAUUCAAAAAAAAGAACUACCAGAAAUGGAAGAUGAAGAAGAAGAAGAAGAAGAAGAAGAAAAAAAAAAAAAAAAAGACAGACUGGACGAUUUGUUUCAUGCUAUUAGUAGAAAAAUAAUUAAUAAAGAAGCUGAUUUGCACUUAAAAGAAAAAUUAGUUUAUUUAAGUUGUAUUAAUAGUAAAAAGUAUGCUGAAAAAAUAAGUUUAAUUAAAGACGAAAAACAAAUGAGAUGUAUAGAUAAUAAAAAUAUAUAUAAUUAUUUUUGUACCGUAUUGAAGAAUAGAAAAAAUAAUCAUUUGUAUGAUAAAGAAAUUGAAAAAGAUAUUAUUUUUUUUAUUACAAAAAAAAUGAACCGAAAACAUAUAAACGCUACUGCGAUUUAUUUAUCCAAUUUAUCUUACUUAAAUAGUAAAAUUGUUAUCAACACAACUAGUUUAUACAUUUUUUGUUUAUAUAUAUUAAAAUAUAUAAAAAAUAAACUUAAAAGUAGGUUAAACAUAGUUAACAUAUACAGUUAUGUAAAUUUAUUAACGUCUAUAAUACACGUAUCUAAAUUAAAAAAUGAGAAAAAUAAAAUACCAUAUGAACAACAAAUGGAUAAUUUUAAUACUAUGAUAAUGCUAAAUAAAAAUGAAUAUUCAUUUGAUUGCUCAUAUUUUACAAAAUUUUGUCAUAAAAGUAUAUCUGUAAAAAAAAAUGGUGAACGUGUUAUUAAUAAUAUAAAACAACCUCUUCUGUAUAAUAACAAUAAUAUAUUUUUUCAUUAUUUUAAUAUAUUUGAAUUUGUUUAUAAAAAAGAAGAUGGUAUAGAAGAAGGAGAACUAAAAGAGGGGCAAAUGUAUGUAGGUGAUCAAACUGUACCAUUCACUAUAAAUGACAAAGAUGGUAUAACUCAAUUUUAUCAAUUUGAUCAAAAUGUUUAUAAUAUAAAAACUGAAAUAAUAUAUAUAAUUUAUUUUAUGAAUUAUACAUUAACAGAUACUCUUAAAAAAUGCUUACGUAAUUAUAAAAAAGGAAUCUGUAAUCAAAAUUUCUAUAAAAAUUUUAAAAAUAAAAUAUAUAUAAUAAUUGAUUAUAUGUUUAAUUGUUUGCAGUUUGGAGUUUUUUGUAAGACGUUAUUUCAGCAUCUGGAGCAGGUAAUAGUUCGUAUGUGUUAUGGAAGUAAUAGUUACAGUAACAACAUAGUUAGUGCUAGUGGAGCAGAUAUAACUCCUGCUACUAGUAUAUCUAACAUCACAAACAACAAUAACAACUUUCUAUGUAGUUUUUUUUCACCAUCCAAUACAAUCAAUUUAAUCCAUUUGUUAUCUAUCUAUUACAACUCCAGUAUAAUCGACGAAAAAAUAAAAUCAG
rnacentral:lncRNA from 1 species